UCGUUAAGGGUUGAACCUGCGGAAGGUCAUUA
rnacentral:rRNA from 1 species